rnacentral:lncRNA from 1 species
AUUGAGCCAUAAGUGACCCAAAUGGACUCAAAUGAAGCCCAAACAAAAACCAUGUGAUAGCUGCCUGCAUGAGGAACACAUGAAGCAUAAGUUUGCCCAAAAAGAUUAAGAAUUGAGCAAGUUAUGGAGUUUUGAAGUGAAGGUAUGUGCAUGAAGUGCAGUUUUAGGCCUUACGGGUUUAGUUGGGCCUAACGUGGUCCAAAACAACUUGAAUAGGGUCCAAAUCUGGUGUGGAAGCUCCUAAAAGGAGGAUAAGGAUGUGUGUGGUGUUUGGAUAAAGAUGGGAUACUCUAUAAUUACUUAGGGGUGAAAGAAGAGGGAAAAAAGAGAAAAAUGGAUAAGCUUGAGAAUUGAGGUGGCAACCUCACCAUUUGCCACCUCAACCCCACUUGGCCGACCCUUUGGGCUUCCCUCCCCUAUAAAUAGGGGUGAAGAGAUGGGAAAUGCAUUCUGCAGUGAAGGGGAGCAAAGUUAGAAGGAGAAAGAAGAGAGAGAGAGAAUAGAAAAAAGAGAGAAAAAGGUGCCUACGUAAGAGAAGUGAGGGAAUUUGAGGGAAUUUGGGAGUCUUUCCUAAAGGAAACUUUGCCCAAAUUGUGAGAAGAAGGGAAAGGAAGGAAGAAACCAAAAGAAAAGAGAUAAAAAGAGGGAGAAAGCUCAUAACCAUCACAAGGGAACCUGCGAGCUUAAGAUAAGUUUUCUCCAUCAAUUGUAUUCCAUUUCUCUUAAACUUUUGAUAUUAGUUUCUAAAUGUUGUGAGGGAUAUUUUUGGUGUU